rnacentral:rRNA from 1 species
GGGUCAGUAGGUUGGUCGUGCCACCGGUACGUACUGGUCUCACUGAUUCCUCCUUCCUGAAGAACCGUAAUGCCAUUAAUUCGGUGUUGCGGGGAAACAGGACCGUUACUUUGAAAAAAUUAGAGUGUUUAAAGCAAGCUAACGCUUGAAUACAUUAGCAUGGAAUAAUGAAAUAGGACGAUCGAUCCUAUUUUGUUGGUUUCUAGGAUUGACGUA